rnacentral:rRNA from 1 species
UCGCAGUCCAUGCUGUAAGGUACUUUAAUUUAUAAUUAAGGUGCUGCUUGGACUACAUAUGGUUGAGGGUUGUAAGACUAUGCUAAAUAAGUUGCUUUUUAAAUAAAAUCCAUUUUUAUUUAGAAGCACAUGUUGUAUUACUGGAUACUCUUAUUUGUAUCCAUAAUACUAAAAGUUAAAGAUACAAAACCUCUUAUUGAAUAAAAUCAGAGUAUUUUUAAAAUUACAUUUUAUUAUAUUCUUUUUUUAUUGAGGAAAGUCUAGCAUAAAAUAUUUAUGAAACUAGAAUUGCCUCUCUAAAAG